UCGGUAUGAAGUUUUCGGAUGGAUUACAGAUUGACUGAGCGGCGGACGGGUGAGUAACGCGUGGGUAACCUGCCUUACACAGGGGGAUAACAGUUAGAAAUGACUGCUAAUACCGCAUAACCCUUUAGCACCGCAUGGUGCAGAAGGAAAAGAUUUAUCGGUGUAAGAUGGACCCGCGUCUGAUUAGCUAGUUGGCAGGGUAACGGCCUACCAAGGCGACGAUCAGUAGCCGACCUGAGAGGGUGAUCGGCCACAUUGGGACUGAGACACGGCCCAAACUCCUACGGGAGGCAGCAGUGGGGAAUAUUGCACAAUGGGGGAAACCCUGAUGCAGCAACGCCGCGUGAGUGAAGAAGUAUUUCGGUAUGUAAAGCUCUAUCAGCAGGGAAGAAAAUGACAGUACCUGACUAAGAAGCCCCGGCUAACUACGUGCCAGCAGCCGCGGUAAUACGUAGGGGGCAAGCGUUAUCCGGAUUUACUGGGUGUAAAGGGAGCGUAGACGGCAAGACAAGUCUGAAGUGAAAGCCCGGGGCUCAACCGCGGGACUGCUUUGGAAACUGCCAUGCUGGAGUGCAGGAGAGGUAAGUGGAAUUCCUAGUGUAGCGGUGAAAUGCGUAGAUAUUAGGAGGAACACCGGUGGCGAAGGCGGCUUACUGGACUGUAACUGACGUUGAUGCUCGAAAGCG
rnacentral:rRNA from 1 species